rnacentral:lncRNA from 1 species
UCUGGAAAAGAUGUCACGUGUUCUGUUUGCAGUAGCAUUGGUCGUCCUCGUGUCUCAGGUAGGAAGUUUUAUUUCAGGGAAAAUGCAUUCUUGGUAUAUUUUCCCCCAAAAAAGGUUUACAUAAAAUCAUGACUAGAUAUGAUAUAAAAUUCAUAUAAAAAUCUUCCUAAUUUUUUAUCAUAUGUUUUUGUUUUAACUGGGAAUUUAAUUCAAAUACUGAAAUGUAUUUAUAUAUGGGUUGGAAAACUUUCAAAGAUAAACAAAAAGAAGUCUACAGGAAAAUUCUUAAUCAAGGCAAAUUUUGUCAUUUGUUUGGUUGUCGGGUUCAAUACGUUUUUUUUUAAAAUGGAAUGUUUGUCUUCGUUUCUAAGAACACAACGAACUUCAAUUAAAAUAAUAAUAAUAAAAAAGAAAAUUGUCGUUGCAAUACAUUUUCAUUGACAGUUGUAUAAUUUUCAAAGCUUACUAUUAGCCAGCCGUAUGUCUACAAGUCUUGAGAAAACAAUACAUGUAGCUAAAGCCAUAACUGAAGAAAAAAUAUUGAGAUCUUAAAGUAAUAUAUUCACACGUACACGUGUUACUGCUGUGCUUAUAAUUAUCCUAACUUACAGGUGCUUGGGAAAAGUGCACUGGAUUCAAGGUAAGACAAUUUAUUUAUAAUAUCUAAUAAUAUAGAAAACUAUUAUUUAUCCUCAAAUCAGCCAACAAUUGCAGAAAUAAAUUUUUGCUUUAUUUGUUGUACUUGUAUAAUAAAUUCUUGUUACUAUAUGUGAAUAUUUCUUUUUGUGUAGUAGUUCAUUUUGGAGUCCUCUUCGCGGUCUGCGUUUAAACUUUGUCGACUUCUUUGCAAAAUUAGAGACAAUAAAUUCGAUUUUAACAACUAAAUUUUCAAAUGUCGGAUAGAAAUUGCAGGCUGUAAACAAUACUCGUUACGAAAUAAGAGAAAAACUCGGCAAGCCUCGCUUUUCAUCCUGAUUCUAAAGCUCAUACAAAUAAAUUUUAUAUUUUCCGACAAUGUUCAUAAUUUUUAUAUUGUAAAUAUAUAUUUAAAAAAAGUCAAAACAUUUUGAGAAACCGUUUCAGAUAAGUUUACUCUAAAAUCACAAUUAAUGCUCGAAUGUGUACCUACCAUGAACAGCUAACUUAUGCCGCUGGUGGAGCCGGAUUUGCUUACCCUUCUGGAGCACCGAAGAUAACCCAAAUAUUUAGGUGGAGUUCGUGUAACUCAGUUAUACGUGUUCUAUGUUGUGUUUUAAAAAAUUGUUUGUCUUUCUUUCUUAGCCAUGGCAAUGAUAGUUACUUGUAUUGUCUGAACACUUAUGAAUUUUAAAUGCGUCUCUUUUUGAAUAAAAAACAGAGAAAACCAACCUCAUGUAAAAUUUAGUGUUGAUUGUAGAUUACAAUAACGGAUAAGAAAAAAUGUGAACCUGGUGAGAAAAAUCGCCAUUGCAAAAAGUUAUUUAAGAACUGAUUUCAUUUUGUGCCAGAGUGAUACUUCAGUGAUAAUUUAAAUAAAGAUUUGAAAAGACAAUUUAUAAAAUGUGAAUUAUUUAACAUUAUAUCAUCUCCUUUUCCAAAACUGGAAAUAUUUGCGAUAAAAUAAGACAUCGAUAACUAAAAGGUUUUUUUUUCCUAAUAAAAAAGGUGGUGGCAACAUGUAAACAACUCUUUUCUAUUUUAACAUACAACACAGUACAUUUGCAACAAAUGCAAAGUAUCAAUAUAUUUUAUUUUAUUACAAAACACAUUGUGAGGACAUUGUAGUCGGAAUUAAAUUAAACAGAUGUGAAUCGAAAUUUUCAAUCUUAACUAACAAAAUAUUUUAUUUUUGAUCACAAAGUAGGCGUCCGUUUUGCUGUGCGAGAUGUAUAAGUACGCAGCCAUGUCCGGUCUUAAUGUCCACUUUGUAUUAUAAUGGAGUCUUUUGAAGAGAGAGAAAAAGAGAAUGUCGCGCUCUCUGCACAUUAAGACUCCUUGCAAAAACGCUUUGAGGGGUCUGUAGGUGGCCUAUAGCGACAAUUUUGUCCCUAUCCAAUAAACCCUUAUUUUCCAGUGGCAGUCCAUAUUUCAUGAACUUCAUCCGGGACGAACACUAUUACAAGACAUCCUUAUCAUGCGUUAAAUAAUUUUGGUAAACAACAAGAUUUCAUAAUUUUAAAAGAAACUGUACAUUCCAAUUCCUCAAAAGUAACUAAUUAUAACUGUGAAUAGAACGUUUAGUUUGCACCAUGAAAGCUUUACCUUCUGCUGUUGUUUUUUUCUAUGGUCGGGUUGUUGUCUCUUUGGCACAUUCCCCAUUUCCAUUCUCAAUUUUAUUAAUGUGUAAUUUAUAUACAAACUGUAGUUUAUUUUUCAAAAUUAUAUGUACAUAGUUCAGACCGUCGACUCUCUCGUUUGAAUUUUAGAAUCGUCAUUUUAUAGUUUUUCAUAUGCGAAAUCAUGGUAAUGGGUAUUUCUCAUUAUUGAAGGCCGCACGGUGACCUAUAGUUGUUAUCUUCUACUUCAUUUGGUCUCAAAUUCUAUACUGAGCGGAAAAGUGUGAAAUAAAAUUUUCCAAACUGUUGUUGUGAAAGAUUUAUUUUUUCCUAGAAAUGAAAAACACUGUAAGAUUGUUUACUAAAGUAUAUCUCCAAUUUAGUGCUUGAGGUUACUUCAUUAUACAUAAACUUACACCGGACUUAUAUUUUAUAGCAACGGUCACUUCUAUAUCAAAUAUGUUUUUGUAUUCUUUCAGCAUAGAGAAGCGGGAUGGUAAGAUAGACUAUAUUAAGUUUACAAAUAAAACACAAACAAAAAUGUAACAGAGGAAAACUAAAUAAACAUAUCCUCUUGAAUAAAAAGCAAAGUGCAGGCUAUUUGCCGAAGGAUUAAGUAAUCCCCCCCCCCCCAAAAAAAAAGACAAAAAAUAAAUUGAAGAUAAAAAUAAAAUUAAAAAGGUCACUCUUAAACAUAGUCUCAUAAGAUCAGCAGUAUAUGAUGUUCAACAAUAUACAAGAGUAAACGUCAGUUCUAAAUCGCUUGUAAACGAGUGAAGACAAGUUAGUAAAAUUCACAUUUGAGCGAGAUAAACAUGACGAAGUUUAACUUUUUUUUAAAGAAUUUACUUGUUAAAUGUUAAUGUGCUGUAACAAGUGAGAAAUCUCAUUCGUCUUCGGCUUCAUAUAAAUCUGAAUAUGUUUCGUCAUUAAUGCACUUUAUUGAUACUUCUAACAUAGCCGUUGUUUGUUUUCCCUAUACAAUGCUAGACUAAUUACACCUCUUAGUAUGAACCUUUUAGUUGGUUAUAUUUUUGGGUGACCGUCUCAAUUUAGAGCAAACAUAUUAAUUUAAUCAAUGAACUCCUCGUACAUAUACAUCAACUUUAUAUUAACAAACCAAAAUUAAAAGAAAAACUGAGGGAAUCGUGUAAGGUAAAGCAACGCAAGGGCGGCUGGGUCGACAGCUAGGAUAAGCUUAUCCUGUUUUCACGCGGUGUGUAUUUUAGACACAUAAAAAUAAGUCUCUCAUACAUGUAACGUGUGAUAUAGACACUGUAAUUGGUCAACUAAUUUGUGAUGAGGACAGAAAACUGAUAUUGUGUUGACUGACCCGAGUAAUUUAAGAUGGUGACAGGAAGAGCUAGAUUUUCCCGCUGCGUUGAAGACUCAUUAGUUGCCCUACUUUUCUGCUCUUUGGUAGUUUUGUUUUCUCUAUGUCACAUCCCGUUUCUAUUCUCAAUUCGUUUGUGUAGUGUCGAUUUAUGAAGCAUUUCUUUAUGGCCUUUCUGGAUACGCCUUUUAAAUAAAGGAACUAUUUCUUGUUUAGGUGGAAUGGCUUGUGGUUUAUGUGCUAGUAAAUGCCCAGGAGGAUAUACAAAACCUGUGGAUGAAAUGGGAUGUCUAAAGUGUGAUGUUUGUAUAAAAGAUGGUUUGUACAACAUUUUGUUAUAAACCCAUCUAGUGACAUUGUGUAAUCACAUAUUAUUUAAAAAAAAAUCUUAACCCAAAAUUUCACAGUAGAUUUAAUUUUGCGCUAAUACCAUACCCCUGCCCCCCUCCCCCCAACAAAAAAAAAGGAAGAGACAAUAAAAAAAGAACAACAAAUGAAUCACAUAUCCUGUAUUUAUCAACACAAAAUAUGAUGAUUUACUUGGCAAUCAGUUUAAUAUGCAUAUUUCAUCAAACUAAAACACACAAUAAAAAGACGUGCGCAGUCAUUUCAACUACAAAAGGAUAUUAGCAACAAGAAGGAUAUAUAAUGGUAUCAUUGCUACAGGAAUCUACUUAUAGUUGUCACUUGAUUCAAUAUAUUUUAUCGGAAACCAGUUUGUUUUGUAACGCGACUCCGAUAGAAAUAUCAAAUACAGUGAGUUAUAUACCAUUGACUUUUAUUUCUAUGGUUGUCGUAACAGUUUUAGAAAUGAUUUAUGUUACGACUUUUAAAGAUGGAACUAAUUAAUCAAUAUUUAAAAAAUAAAUAAAUUUGGUGUAUUUAUUGUCUUCUGAUUGGUUAAAAGAAUUAGCUUUAUUUUCAAUGUUAUCAAUUUUUAUGGCGACACGCCCAUUCUACGUGUGUAUUCAUACGCAAACAUCUGUGACGUUGUUAUUUUGUAUUAAUAUAUAUCUUUGAGCCUUAUUUUGAUAGAAAUUUUAUUUAUAAUGAAUGGCAAUAAUUUAUUUUGAAUUUAUUGACCAUAAAAUUAAUUGACUCUUCACAUUUAACAUAAUCCGCUUCGCGGAUUAUUCAAUGUGAAGAGUCAAAAAUUAAUUUUAUGGUUCAAUAAAUUUAAAAUAAAUAACAGCCAUUCAUUAAGUAUUGAGUUAGAAUUCAACAAUAACAUGAUAGCCAUGCAGAUUUCUCCUGGUGCCAUUUAAAAAAAAUUUGUACCUUAACAGUAAUCCAUUUCGAUAGUAAAAUAUCAAGACUGCGUUUUUUUAUAUAAAAUAAAGAGAUAAUUCCGAUUAUAGGGUAUAUGAAACAGGACAUCUAUAGUUGUAUCAAUGCAAUGAUUGCUUAUCUAUUUAUCUAUCUAGUGAAUAUGCUCAAAAUUCAAAUGACAUUCAUUGAAGAGAGGUAAGGUAAUUUUCCCCAGGAAAUUUACAGUGCCAUUUUCCUGGUAUUUCAAACAAGGGUAUUUUCCCCAUUGCAUCAUAAAAGUGUCAAUGUUUAAAAUGUGGGCCAAUGUUUGCUUAAAUUAACACCAUAAAAUUUUUGGUAUAUUGAAUUUCUCGCUACAUUGAAGACCUGUUGGUGACCUUCUGCUGUUGUGGUUUUUUUUUCUAUGGUCGGGUGUGUUGUCUCUUUGGCACAUUCCCAUUUCCAUUCUCAAUUUUAUUUGUGUAUCUUACUUAAAUGAAUUGAUGGGUAAUCAUAACAAAAGUCAAAAUGAUAUUGGAAGUAUGCUACGAAUUAUAUUUCAGAAUCAUCGGGUGUCCUUUAAUUCAAAAGUAGAUUCUGUUGCACUCUUUGAUAUUAAAAUAACAGGAUAAUGUUAAACCAAAUUUGGUUUGUAACCUACAUGAAGUGACUAAACUUCAGUAGAAAUUUAUUCUAAAUACUUGUGAAUCCUAGAUAUCUGAAUUUGUUAAAAGUACAGAAGGGCACUAUUCGUCUUGCCUGAACAUCAUGUCAUAGUUAUAAUGUUUUAAUACGGUUUAUAUGUUUAAUUUUGCAGUUAAAAGAGAU